AAAAAUUAAAACACAAUAUAAGCUAAAAAUAUUUCACACUGGUACAAGUCGAGAGGGAAUAUGCAUAAUUUGCACUUUAUGCACAACAUCAUUCUGUUUUGGAGCGCACCACAUUUAUAUAGUCAUAGAUGGUGUUUUAAUACAGUGUUAGAUCUACUACCUCUCCUUAGGCUCCACAUACUUAGAAGAGCGUGACUAUUUCCAUGUUUCUAAUAGACAAAGCUGCAUAUGAGCCAAACACACAUGUGAAAUAAUCUCCAGUCACCUGUGUUAAAAAAUAAAAAUAAAAACUACCAAAACGGCAUAAUCAAGGCUGGGGAAGUUGAUUUCACAUGCAUGUUUGGCAUUUCAUCAUUGUGAGCCACACAACAGCACAAGUCUGAUGAAAAGAAGCAUCAUCCAAAUACUUCGAGCUCUAGUUGGACGGAACUAAUCAACGUUCACACUUACGUAUUCCAGUUAGAACAUUCUUCGUUUUCAGGCAUCCUUGUCUAACUCAUGCAGACUAGAAUGGUGACUAAAUUACUAAAUCUAACAUGUGAUGAAAAGCCAACCGCAAUCCCUGACACUGAAUGAGUAAAGCUUGUACUUUUCGUAACAAUUUACAAAAUCGAUUUACGUAUGAAGCGGCAAGGAAGCGAUAACAUAAGAUAAGGCAGAUCAAAGUCGUAGCUAACAUCUGAGAUGAAAACACGUUCUUAAAGCGUUCACGUAAGUUAAACAGCAUGAAUCGUAUGUAAAAAAAAUAAAAAAGGUGCUUGUGUGGUAUCAAAGUGUUUGACAAUCGCAGUGUGCAUCGUACACACUCUCGUCCUAGGCGCGUGUGGUUCUAGCUCAGCAGCAUAACAGUCAGCCGUCAGAGUUAGCACACAAAACCAUAGCUUAGUCUUGCUGGGCCAGUGUUGGAAGGGUAACAAGGCGGACGUCAGGGACAGACAGGAGACUGCUGAAGUAGUGUCACAGGUAACCGUACACAAGCCUUUUGCCGCUAACCUCCUUUUGCAAAACUGGCACGGGAGAUAAUCUCCUCACCACAUUAUGUCACGCAGCCCCGGAGACUUACAGACGCCUGUGAGACGUGACUUCGCAAAGUUCUCUAUGGAAGGCCAAAAUUGCCAAAAACACGUGAAUUUUUACACAUCAACGACAUGUUAAAUAUGCAUAUUUAAUCUUCCAUAGUCCUCAAGCAUGUACGUGAACGUCCCCGCAGAUGCUCAGUCCGGGCCUGGCCUAUCACUUUUAGGGGUUUAACAUGGCUCAAGAACAGCACAGUGAUUUGAAAAGGCAGUUACUAUACUAAUAGCUAAGGGCUAUACUAAUAGCUAGGUACGUUCGCAAAGUAACACGACCUGGAGUCAGUGUAGGAAACGAAUAACAACCCUCUUGAAUUGUGCUCAGGGUGGGAUACACCAUACCAGAGAGGCCUGGGUCAAGUUUCAGUGGCCUUUUAAGGCCCGAGUCAAGUUUUUGAUGGUUCCAAAUAUAAACUAUGCACAAUCAAUAUGGCAUUUCAGCGCCGGGAGCGAAAUACGUGCCUCAUGACAGGAAAAAAUAGCAAAUUCAGUGGACUCAAACAAGCCAUUGUCUUCCUAAACAGAACAAGUGAUCUGGAUUAAAAUGAUAUGGAUAAUUCUCAAAAGAUCAUGGUUAAUUAUUAACCCUUGUGCCCUAAACUCUGAUUUCUACGUUCUGCUAAUUCAAAUUUAAAGGGACAAUUUACUCAAAAAAUAAAAAAUUCUUAUCUGUAUGACUCUGUAGUCAUACAGUAAUCAGCAGUGUCCAAAUGCUGUUUUGGACCCCAUUGACUUUCACUGUAAGGACAAAAACAUUCUUCAAAAUAUCUUAUUUUGUGUCCCACUGAAAAACGGAAGUCAUACACGUUUGGAACGAUGAUCAGGAUGACCAUUUUGACAAAUGAUGACAAAUUAAAUUUUUUGGGCAAACUGUCCCUUUAAACUAUGGUGCGACUCUGUGGCAUAAUGUAAUUUAUGGCAGAAAUACUUGUCUGACAGUUUGGAAACAAACUUAAUAUUGAAUAUGGUGAUUGAAAUCCACUUAUAAAGCAAGUUCAUUGAGAAAAAUGGAGUUUCAUUAUAAGCAGGUGACUGUCGACACACUUUUUGUUUUUCAAAGCACAUUUUCUGUAGUAAUCAACAGUGUGCGACAGAUGAAGCUCGUCGAUGGAGCUUAAGUUAUAUUUAACCCAGAACAUUCCUUUAAGGCAAAGCUUGAUUAGAACUCCAAACGUAACUAAUUCUUAUGCUGGUAAAGCACAGCAAUCAAGUAUAAUUUAUUGAAGUGCAAGUCUGCUACCCCUUGCGGCUAGUCCUUCCUCACUGACAUGGAGAUAGCCAUGUAUGAAAGACCGGGUUACAUUAUUUAGCUGAGGAUGUGUCACCUCACACGGUCAUUACUGUCAUCGGCGCUGCACUAAUCCCAUCAUUACACAGGGAAUCCCCAGGAAGAGUUUAGAAGAGGACAAAAAACGAAACAGUGAACUGUAGGAGGAAGGCAAAUGGGUAACAGUUGUUGCGGUAAGCUCAGGAUGAAGCGGAUCACCUGCUUUCAGCUUGAGAGUGCAAAAUGUUCAGGUAGGAAAUAACAUAAUACAUAUCAAUCGUCAUCAAAUAACUUUUUGCAAUGCAAGUCCCCGCAGACACACCACACGAAACGACCGUCCCGAUCCAAUCAGUUCAUGGGGGGUGUGUCUAGUGUCAUGUCCUGAAUGAUGAAAAAGUCUUGAUUUAAAUGAAAGUUCAUGAAUAUCACCACAGAGACUGAAAAAAAAAAAAAAAAAAACAGGCACCCUUGUCUAAACCAAAGGACAGGGGGUCCGGGAAGUUGAUCUUGUCCCAUAAUUAUUCCCAAACGUUUCCAUGCUAAUCCCAGAGCAGUG